CUCGAUGGGCGUUUACGAAGCACUAGGAGUCCAAGAAAAACCCAGCAUUUAUGCUGAAAUGGAAAACCAGAAAGAACAGAAACAACCUAAUAAACAACACGAGGGUAAAAGCCAAUUUAAGAAUCCGAAUGAUCACAACGACCACAUGGAACUAAAUACAAACCAAGACCGAACAGAAAAAGUUUAUGAAAAUGAAGUAUUUUGAUGCAACUAUAGCCACAUACAGUUUGUUUACUGAAAAGACAAGAACACCAAGAGAUACACGAACCUUUUGACAAAACAUAUAUUUUUUGUUUAGAAAAUUGUUUCAUGUAUAUAGUUAUAUUUGUAAAUAUCGUUUAUUUUUGUUUUGCAAAUACGGUAGUUUGUUCUAAUCUAUAUAGUCAGGAGAUUAAUUUUAACAAGUGAUUUUUUUUUUUAGAUUACCUAUGAAGGUAAUUACUCAAUACACAUUUUAAGGAAUAUUCAAAUAAACAGUAAACCUAAGAAUAAUGUCAACAAUAUCAUGUCUAUAACAUAUCUAAUAACACUCUUAAAUGCCUAAGGUGGUAUGGGUGUCUUACGCCAUCUUGGAUUGUAAAAAAAAAAACACAAUGGAAGGUCCUGGUUUCAAUCAAAUUACCAAAAUUUGAUGCAGGAACGGAAAUAACUAAUGUGAAUUUGCAUUUAUAAGAAGAAAUUAAUAAGAUUAAAACUUUAAAUAUAUGCUAUGAUUAUUUUUACAAGUUUUGAUUAUUUCUGCUUGAUUUUAACUUUUUUUGAAUUGGCAAUUUAGGUGGAGGUCACUCUGAAAUAUUGCAAUUUACGAAGGAAUCUCCCUGGAAUUUUGCUAUUUUGUAUUUUAGCCGGGAAAAACGCACGGUGACCCUAUUUUUCCUUUUGAUAUUCUCGAGCAAUUUUCUAAAAGCUAUCUUCUCGUAUCUUA